AGCGAACGCUGGCGGCAGGCCUAACACAUGCAAGUCGAACGAACUCUUCGGAGUUAGUGGCGGACGGGUGAGUAACACGUGGGAACGUGCCUUUUGGUUCGGAAUAACUCAGGGAAACUUGUGCUAAUACCGAAUGUGCCCUUCGGGGGAAAGAUUUAUCGCCAUUAGAGCGGCCCGCGUCUGAUUAGCUAGUUGGUGAGGUAACGGCUCACCAAGGCGACGAUCAGUAGCUGGUCUGAGAGGAUGACCAGCCACACUGGGACUGAGGCACGGCCCAGACUCCUACGGGAGGCAGCAGUGGGGAAUCUUGCGCAAUGGGCGAAAGCCUGACGCAGCCAUGCCGCGUGAAUGAUGAAGGUCUUAGGAUUGUAAAAUUCUUUCACCGGGGACGAUAAUGACGUUACCCGGAGAAGAAGCCCCGGCUAACUUCGUG
rnacentral:rRNA from 1 species